rnacentral:misc_RNA from 1 species
UCCGGCUUAUCACCGGCAGUCCCCUUAGAGUGCCCGACUGAAUGAUGGCAACUAAGGGCGAGGGUUGCGCUCGUUGUGGGACUUAACCCAACAUCUCACGACACGAGCUGACGACAGCCAUGCACCACCUGUACACCGACAAAAAGGGGCACCAUCUCUGGCGCUUUCCGGCGUAUGUCAAACCCAGGUAAGGUUCUUCGCGUUGCGUCGAAUUGAACCACAUGCACCACCGCUUGUGCGGGCCCCCGUCAAUUCCUUUGAGUUUCAACCUUGCGGUCGUACUCCCCAGGCGGGGUACUUCCUGCGUUAGCGCCGGCACCCAGAGGGUCGCUCCCCCAGGCACCUAGUACCCAUCGUUUACGGCGUGGACUAC